rnacentral:lncRNA from 1 species
AAGCAUCACAUCUGGUUUUGGAGUUCUGCUAAAGGAGCAGGGGGUUAAGGGCUUUUUCAGGGGAUGGGUGCCUACCCUCCUUGGUUACAGUGCUCAGGGUGCCUGCAAGUAUGGAUUCUAUGAAUAUUUCAAGAAGUACUACUCUGACCUUGCUGGACCAGAGUUUGCUGCCAAGUACAAGACCUUGAUCUACCUUGCUGGUUCUGCAUCUGCUGAGGUCAUUGCUGAUGUUGCUCUUUGCCCCUUUGAGGCAGUCAAGGUCCGUGUGCAAACUCAGCCUGGAUUUGCUAGAGGUUUUUCAGAUGGACUUCCUAAGUUUGUCAGAUCAGAAGGUGCUCUUGG